GACACUUGUGUCUCUCUCUAAACUUAACUUUAUUUCUUAUCAUCUUCUUCUUAUUUCUCUACACUCUCUAGCACACACACACUUACAUAAAGAAGAAACCCUAUCUUCUUUCCCCCUUUCCCUCUUGAUUACCAGUAGACACAAAGAAGAAAUAAAAUCAUAACACAACUGAUUCCCUGAAACCCCCAUGCUCUCUAUCUCACUCGUGACCUCCUCACCGGCCACGGGAGCCUCCGACCGAACCCUCACCGACACAUCCUCACCCACACCUCUGCUUCACCCUCAUUUCUUCCCCCCUCCUCUGGUGAGCACCUACCGGCAACCGGAACAAACCAAACCACCACCAUUUUUGGUGGCAGCGGGGAGCAACAAAAACAACACCGCCAUCACGGCGGCGACGGCCCGACAUAGAAACGGAGAGAGAGUGAGAAGAAUGAGAGAGAUCGAGAGGAGAGAGAGAAAGGAUGGCGGAGAAGGAGCGGCGCCGCCACUCACGGCGGCGACAAUAGCGGCGUGGCGGUGGUUUGUGUCUCGGUCCGACGAUUUUUCCGGUAAACACCCUCCAUUUCACUUUAUUUCCUGCAAAACUGAAGCUGAUGAUGUUUGGUUCACAUAUGGUUAUUUUUUUUCGGUUCAAGCUUCAAGGCGCGAGUCGGCUCGGGAGGACUUUGGAUCUUUCUGGUCUCGUUUGGUUCGAGUCUCGGGUCAGGUUGCGGAUUAUUUCGAAUUCGGGUCAGAUCUGGUCAUGUCUCGGUUCGGGUCAGCAGCGGGUUCGAGUUAUGGUUUGGUUUAACUCGGGUUUCAACUCGGGUCAGAAUUGGUCGCGUGGGAUUCUUUGCAACAGAUUAAUGGGUUUCGGUUCAUCUCAGUUUAGUAUGGAUCGGGUUUUUGGUUUGAGUCAGCUCGGUUAAACCGAGUUAACUCGGUUCGGACUCAGGGCAAAGCGAGUCGACUCGGUCAACACCCGAGUCAACUCGGGUCAACAGGCGGUCAACUGUUAGUCAACAGGUCAACAGCAGGUCAACGCCAGUCAAAUAUCAUCUCGGGUUCGGAUUCAAGUCAAACGGGUCAGAAAGUCAAUAAAAGUCAACCGGUCAAACCCAUGGUCAACGACAGUCAACGACGGUCAAAUGAGUCGCACGAGACUCGGAAUGCUAUAGUUGCACGCUAGCCAAUUCACAUUCUUG